GAUGAACGCUGGCGGCGUGCCUAAUACAUGCAAGUCGAGCGAACAGAUAAGGAGCUUGCUCCUUUGACGUUAGCGGCGGACGGGUGAGUAACACGUGGGUAACCUACCUAUAAGACUGGAAUAACUCCGGGAAGCCGGGGCUAAUGCCGGAUAACAUGUUGAACCGCAUGGUUCUACAGUGAAAGGCGGCUUUGCUGUCACUUAUAGAUGGACCCGCGCCGUAUUAGCUAGUUGGUGAUGUAACGGCUCACCAAGGCAACGAUACGUAGGCGACCUGAGAGGGUGAGCGGCCACACUGGAACUGAGACACGGUCCAGACUCCUACGGGAGGCAGCAGUAGGGAAUCUUCCGCAAUGGGCGAAAGCCUGACGGAGCAACGCCGCGUGAGUGAUGAAGGUCUUCGGAUCGUAAAACUCUGUUAUUAGGGAAGAACAAAUGCGUAAGUAACUGUGCGCGUCUUGACGGUACCUAAUCAGAAAGCCACGGCUAACUACGUG
rnacentral:rRNA from 1 species